UGAACCUGGAUUCACUUUCAAUCUGCACACAGUAUAGGCAAUAAUUUAAGAAAGAUAUCGUAUAUAUUCUAUUCUAGAAUAUUUAACCACUAUAAAAAGAUUCUAGUAAUAAUGACAAACUUCAAUAUUGGGCUUCCACUCAAGACUUCACCCGUUCUAGAGACUACUACUUGAUUUUUAAGACAAGGAAAAUGAGGAAGAAGAAGAAGAAGA
rnacentral:misc_RNA from 1 species